rnacentral:rRNA from 1 species
GCAUGUUCACAUGAUUAAAGGUACUCCGGUAGACGAUGGGGAUGCGUUCCAUUAGAUAGUAGGCGGGGUAACGGCCCACCUAGUCUUCGAUGGAUAGGGGUUCUGAGAGGAAGGUCCCCCACAUUGGAACUGAGACACGGUCCAAACUCCUACGGGAGGCAGCAGUGAGGAAUAUUGGUCAAUGGGCGAGAGCCUGAACCAGCCAAGUAGCGUGAAGGAUGACUGCCCUAUGGGUUGUAAACUUCUUUUAUAAAGGAAUAAAGUCGGGUAUGCAUACCCGUUUGCAUGUACUUUAUGAAUAAGGAUCGGCUAACUCCGUGCCAGCAGCCGCGGUAAUACGGAGGAUCCGAGCGUUAUCCGGAUUUAUUGGGUUUAAAGGGAGCGUAGAUGGAUGUUUAAGUCAGUUGUGAAAGUUUGCGGCUCAACCGUAAAAUUGCAGUUGAUACUGGAUAUCUUGAGUGCAGUUGAGGCAGGCGGAAUUCGUGGUGUAGCGGUGAAAUGCUUAGAUAUCACGAAGAACUCCGAUUGCGAAGGCAGCCUGCUAAGCUGCAACUGACAUUGAGGCUCGAAAGUGUGGGUAUCAAACAGGAUUAGAUACCCUGGUAGUCCACACGGUAAACGAUGAAUACUCGCUGUUUGCGAUAUACAGCAAGCGGCC